CCAGAUGGGGAAGGUCUCCUAUGUACCAUUUAAUGGAAGGCAUGGAUUCUCAUAAAUGGUAAGUGAUUUUAGGUGUACAUUGCUUGAAUGGAUCUUGUAGCCGUGCUCUUGUAUUGCUCAGUUAAAUAACAGAUUUGUUCAACUAAAAUGAAGUAUAGAUGGCCGUUUUUUGUACUCUAAGUGAUGGUGUUGCAACACUCUCUUUUGGUGUAGGAUAUUGGUUUUUUUGAUUGAUGCAAACUCUUGAGCUCCCAUUAGAAUGGCUUUUGCUUCCUGGUUCCUUUUUCACAAGUCUACCUCUGCUGGUUAUUUCCUGGAGGUACAGAUUUUGUAUUAAGAAUUUGGUGGAAGGUUUGGUCUUGAUUUUGGAAGGCUUACCAAUUGGGUUUGGGUUGAGUAUUAGUUUUCUUUGUAAACACCCUUGAAAAUUCCUCUUGACUUUUCAAAAUAGGUACUCUUUUUCCUUGCUAGGUUUUCCCAAGGGGGUUUUAUCCUAGAAAGGUUUUAAUGAGGCAUGUUUUGUUAAGUCUAUUUUCAAGGGGGUAUUAGGUGGGUAGUUUUCUUCUUUUAUAGGGUUUUGGUAUUUGUACAUGUAAGUAUCUGAUUAUUUAAUUUAUUAUAUGUAAAAUGUUAAAGAUGAACUUAUUAUGUAUUCAUUGGUUUCGUUGUUAACUUAAAG
rnacentral:lncRNA from 1 species